CUAGUUGGUGGGGUAAAGGCUCACCAAGGCGACGAUCCGUAGCUGGUCUGAGAGGACGACCAGCCACACUGGGACUGAGACACGGCCCAGACUCCUACGGGAGGCAGCAGUGGGGAAUUUUGGACAAUGGGGGCAACCCUGAUCCAGCCAUGCCGCGUGAGUGAAGAAGGCCUUCGGGUUGUAAAGCUCUUUCAGACGGAAGGAAACGGUCACGGCCAAUACCCGUGACUAAUGACGGUACCGUAAGAAGAAGCACCGGCUAACUACGUGCCAGCAGCCGCGGUAAUACGUAGGGUGCGAGCGUUAAUCGGAAUUACUGGGCGUAAAGCGUGCGCAGGCGGUUUUGUAAGACAGACGUGAAAUCCCCGGGCUUAACCUGGGAAUUGCGUUUGUGACUGCAAGGCUAGAGUGUAGCAGAGGGGGGUAGAAUUCCACGUGUAGCAGUGAAAUGCGUAGAUAUGUGGAGGAAUACCGAUGGCGAAGGCAGCCCCCUGGGCUAACACUGACGCUCAUGCACGAAAGCGUGGGGAGCAAACAGGAUUAGGUACCCUGGUAGUCCACGCCCUAAACGAUGUCAACUAGGUGUUGGGGAAGGAGACUUCUUUAGUACCGCAGCUAACGCGCUAAGUUGACCGCCUGGGGAGUACGGUCGCAAGAUUAAAACUCAAAGGAAUUGACGGGGACCCGCACAAGCGGUGGAUUAUGUGGAUUAAUUCGAUGCAACGCGAAAAACCUUACCUACCCUUGACAUGCCAGGAACCCUGCUGAGAGGCGGGGGUGCCCGAAAGGGAACCUGGACACAGGUGCUGCAUGGCUGUCGUCAGCUCGUGUCGUGAGAUGUUGGGUUAAGUCCCGCAACGAGCGCGACCCUUGCCAAUAAUUGCCAUCAUUCAGUUGGGCACUUUAUUGGGACUGCCGGUGAUAAACCGGAGGAAGGUGGGGAUGACGUCAAGUCCUCAUGGCCCUUAUGGGUAGGGCUUCACACGUAAUACAAUGGUCGGUACAGAGGGUUGCCAAGCAGCGAUGCGGAGCCAAUCCCAGAAAGCCGAUCGUAGUCCGGAUUGUUCUCUGCAACUCGAGAGCAUGAAGUCGGAAUCGCUAGUAAUCGCGGAUCAGCAUGUCGCGGUGAAUACGUUCCCGGGUCUUGUACACACCGCCCGUCACACCAUGGAGUGGAAUCUGCCAGAAGUAGGUAGCCUAACCGCAAGGAGGGCGCUUACCACGGUGGGUUUCAUGACUGGGGUGAAGUCGUAACAAGGUA
rnacentral:rRNA from 1 species